rnacentral:rRNA from 1 species
ACGGGAGGCAGCAGUGAGGAAUAUUGGUCAAUGGACGGAAGUCUGAACCAGCCAUGCCGCGUGCAGGAAUAAGGCCCUAUGGGUCGUAAACUGCUUUUGUAGUGGAGCAAUAAGGUGUACGCGUACAUCGAUGAGAGUACAUUACGAAUAAGCAUCGGCUAACUCCGUGCCAGCAGCCGCGGUAAUACGGAGGAUGCAAGCGUUAUCCGGAUUUAUUGGGUUUAAAGGGUGCGUAGGCUGUUUGUCAAGUCAGGGGUGAAAUCCCGGGGCUCAACUCCGGAAUUGCCUUUGAUACUGGCAGGCUUGAAUACUGUUGCCGUGGGAGGAAUGAGUAGUGUAGCGGUGAAAUGCAUAGAUAUUACUCAGAACACCGAUUGCGAAGGCAUCUCACGAAACAGCGAUUGACGCUGAGGCACGAAAGCGUGGGGAUCAAACAGGAUUAGAUACCCUGGUA